rnacentral:piRNA from 1 species
UAAGACCCAUGCUGUGUUGUGAAUG